ensembl:lncRNA
GCAUGUGGAGGAGGGGAGGCUCCCAGGUCAGCGGCAGCAGGGUGUCGGCCGUGCUGGUUGUGCUGUCAGCCUGGAGGGCAGAGGAGCCCAUCUGCGCCGUGGGCCAUGGCGUGGCUGCCCUUUGCUGUGCCACCAAUGAGGACAGAUCCUGGGUGUUCCAAGGCUACAGCGUCACAGGGGUGAGUGCACUGCUGGGGGGCCCAGGGUCACUUCUGGGGGGGGCAGCAGUCACCUGCCCAGGUGGGGGUGUCAGCGUUCCAGCCCCGGGGGGCGGGCAGGGCUCCGUCAAGGCCUCGUGCCUGUGGAGUGUUGGACUUCUUUCAGGUCCAAGAAAGUGGCGCCGCCACUUGGGCGGAGGGCCCGCUGGACAGGGAGCCGGGGUAAGGGUCCUGGGGCCGGUCUAACGGACAGAGGGGAGGCAGGGGGCUGCACGGGGCCAGCCUGGCCUGUGGCUCAGGAGAGCAGCAGGCCUCCCAGGGCUGCUUGUGUGGCGCCUGGGGGCGGCUGCAGCUCCCACCCCCAGCUCUCUGACCACCAAAGGGCUCAGCCCCGAGGCCACCUGCCCAGCCUGUUCUGGUCACCCAUCUGCCCCGAUGCUGGGGGCGUUCUCCCCCCAGCAUCGCCAGCACACACCCUCGCCCACAGCCCUCUGUGUACGAGCUCGUCCGGGCGCCCGGCUUCGCCCACCUGCCCCUGAUCGUGGAGGACUUUGCGAAGGACGCGGGCGCCUGCUUCAGCGCCAGCCAGCCUGACGCCGUGCACGUCGUGCUGGACCGCCACCUCGUUACGGGCCAGAACGCCGGCUCCACCGUCCCGGCCGUGCAGAACCUGCUCUUCCUCUGUGGCAGCCGGAAGUGAGGCGGCCCUGAACUGAGCCUGCCACCUGCACACAUCCUGGACGCCCCCCGGGCAGCUGGACUCUCAGGCCUCAGGGACCCUGCCUCCGUGACAUCCCGGCCUGGCCUGGUGGGGUUUCUGGAGGGCUCUCGGGGUGCUAGCCCUGGGGAGGCUGAGCCCCUGACGCCACACCUUCUGGCGGGGGGGGGUGUCAGGGCCCAGGUGCUGCUUUGGCUGCCACGAGGUCCCUGAGAUCCUGCGUGUUCCACGGAGCGAGUGGGCUGUGGGGCCCGGAGUGGGGAGCAGAGCCUGAGCCUUUCCGAAGCCUGGGGGGGGGCCUGCCGGUUGGGCAGUGGCGGCCAGGGCUUCCGGAGGCCCCGCCGGGGGGGAGGGGCCUCUGGUUGGUGUCAGACCUGACGGUGACCCCAUGUCAGGCCCGGGUGGAUCUCAGUGUCACCGUGUCCCUCCUGACGUUGAGAGAAACAGUUGGGACGCAGGGCCCUGCCCAAGUGGCCUCCAGGUGGUGCCCCGAGCCCAGCUUUGCAGCUGCUCUGCCUGUCUCACAGCAGCCACGACGGGCGUGAGCUUCACUGGGAAGGAGGCCAUGAGCGUGGCUGACCUGGGGUGGCAGGCAGUCCUCACCUCUCAGGCCCCGGACAGGCCUCUGCCAGGGGUGCCAGGCGGCUGUCCAGCCAGCUGGCUCCCUCUGCAGCCAGGCAUCUCCAGCCUCUCUGGGGCGCCUGGCCUGGCCCUCGGCUGGGCCCUCUGGAGCUGCUGGCCUCCAUGCGUGUCCCUUACCUUUUCCUGUCACCCUUAUCCAACCCCUCGUAACAAAAGGGGAGGAGGCAGGGCCCUGAGUCCGAGGCCACUUCCCUCCUGUGGCGUGGCUGUGGGCUCGGGCCGGGGACGGAGCCUGUGCCACAGCAGUGACAACGCCAGGUGCUUAACUGCUGGGCCACCAGGGAAGUCCAUGCACUGUCCUUUCUGUCCAGCGUUUCCCACGUUCCCAGGAUCAGAGCCCCUGACACCUGCUGGCCAGCUCUGUCCACGGUGGGCCUGGCCAGCCCUGCUGUGAGGCCUCUGGCAUCCCGGGCCUGCAGUUGUCCCGUGGUUACGGCCUGCUCUGGAUGAAAGGUUUUUUUUUAAGGAGACAGCUUGGGGGCCCAAUCCUGUGUCGUCUGCAGAGAGCUGCUUUGUGACGGGCCAGAUGCAGACCCAGGGGCUCUGCGGGGCCUCCCGUUUCAGGGCACCGGGAUGGGUGGUGGUGGCGGGGGGUAGGGGCUGGAAGGAGGAGAGGAGCCUGGGAAGAUGGUCGCUGAGUGUGGGCACCCGUGCCCUCUGGGGUGCCCAGUCUGCCCUAAAGAAAUAAAAACCUAGACCUC